rnacentral:tRNA from 1 species
GCCCGAGUGGUGGAAUUGGUAGACACAAGGGACUUAAAAUCCCUCGAUCUUUGAUCGUACCGGUUCGAUUCCGGUCUCGGGCACCA